CCCACAAUGGGACUGAAACACGGCCCAUACUCCUACGGGAGGCAGCAGCAGGGAAUAUUGCCACAAUAGGCGAAAGCCUGAUGCAGCGACGCCGCGUGAGUGAAGAAGGCCUUCGGGUCGUAAAGCUCUUUUGUACGGGAAGAGGAAGGACGGUACCCUAAGAAGAAGCGUCGGCUAACUACGUGCCAGCAGCCGCGGUAAGACGUAGGACGCGAGCGUUAUCCGGAAUUACUGGGCGUAAAGGGCCAGCAGGCGGCUUGGUAAGUUGUGCGUGAAAGCCUCGUGCUCAACGCGAGGAAGCCGGACAAUACUGUCAAACUAGAGGGCAUCAGAGGGGAGUGGAAUUCCCGGAGUAGCGGUAAAAUGCGCAGAUAUCGGGAGGAACACCGAUGGCGAAGGCAGCUCCCUGGGAUGCACCUGACGCUAAGAGGCGAAAGCUAGGGGAGCGAACAGGAUUAGAGACCCUGGUAGUCCUAGCUGUAAACGCUGGGUGCUAGGUGUGGGACGUAGAAGUUCCGUGCCGGAGCAAACGCGAUAAGCACCCCGCCUGGGAAUUACGCGUCGCAAGGCUAAAACUCAAACGAAUUGACGGGGCCCCGCACAAGCAGCGGAGCGUGUGGUUCAAUUCGAUGCUACACGAAGAACCUUACCUGGGUUUGACAUGUACGUGGUACGAAGGCGAAAGCCUAAGGACCCUUCGGGGAGCGUACACAGGUGCUGCAUGGCUGUCGUCAGCUCGUGCCGUGAGGUGUCGGGUUAAGUCCCGUAACGAGCGCAACCCUUGCCCUUAGUUACAAGUGUCUAAGGGGACUGCCGGCGGGAAGCCGGAGGAAGGUGGGGAUGACGUCAAGUCAGCAUGGCCCUUAUGUCCAGGGCUACACACACGCUACAAUGGUCAGUACAAAGGGUAGCGAAGUCGCGAGGCGGAGCGAAUCUCAACAAAGCUGAUCGUAGUUCGGAUUGCAGGCUGCAACCCGCAUGCAUGAAGCUGGAGUUGCUAGUAACCGCGCGUCAGCCAUAGUGCGGUGCAUACGUACCCGGGGCUUGUACACACCGCCCGUCACGUCAUGGGA
rnacentral:rRNA from 1 species